rnacentral:rRNA from 1 species
CCUACGGGGGGCAGCAGUGAGGAAUAUUGGUCAAUGGGCGGAAGGCUGAACCAGCCAUGCCGCGUGAAGGUCAGUGGCCCAUCGGCGUGUAAACUCUUUUGUGCGGGAGCAAUAAUGGUCACGUGUGGCCAGACGAGAGUACCGUACGAAUAAGCAUCGGCUCACUCCGUGCCAGCAGCGGCGGUAAUACGGGGGAUGCAAGCGUUAUCCGGAUUUAUUGGGUUUAAAGGGUGCGUAGGCUGGGAGGUAAGUCAGCGGUGAAAUGCCCCCGCUCAACGGGGUGAAGGGCCAUUGAUACUGCCUGGCUGGAAUGCGGAUGCCGUGGGAGGAAUGUGUGGUGUAGCGGUGAAAUGCAUAGAUAUCACACAGAACACCGAUUGCGAAGGCAUCUCACGAAUCCGCGAUUGACGCUGAUGCACGAAGGCGUGGGUAUCAAACAGGAUUAGAUACCCGUGUAGUC